UACGUAGGGUGCAAGCGUUGUCCGGAAUUAUUGGGCGUAAAGAGCUCGUAGGCGGCUUGUCGCGUCGGCUGUGAAAACCUGGGGCUCAACCCCGGGCCUGCAGCCGAUACGGGCAGACUAGAGUGCGGUAGGGGAGAUUGGAAUUCCUGGUGUAGCGGUGGAAUGCGCAGAUAUCAGGAGGAACACCGAUGGCGAAGGCAGAUCUCUGGGCCGUAACUGACGCUGAGGAGCGAAAGCGUGGGGAGCGAACAGG
rnacentral:rRNA from 1 species